rnacentral:lncRNA from 1 species
CUGGUCCGCAGGAAGUUUGUUGGUGGUGGUGGUGGUGGUUUUUAAGAGGGAAACAGAAGAGACAGUAUCCUUUUGCACAAGAGUCUGUGUUUCCAGUCUCUGUUUAAAAACAAGGGCAGUUUAGCCCUUUUGGAUAUAAUCCUCUAGUUAUUGGUGUAUGGCCUGUGGGUUACCCGAACUCCAUAAUCUGGGACUUCUUAAAAAUAAGAACCAGCUCAAGUAUAUGAUCUCAUAAUGGGGUUUCUGUCUCCCUAGUGCCCCCAUCUAGAUUGGCAUGGAUGCUUUGGUUGACUUCAUACCUGUGUGUAGAUACAAAAGGUCUGGAGACAUCUUCAUUUUGUUUAUUUAUUUUAAGUUGUUUUGUCAUGUUUUUUUGUGACUUUCUUUUGAUUUUUUUUUAAUUCAUGAGGACCAGGUACAGUAGCUGAAACCCAACUCAGAUCCACCAUAGGAUUCUUUGACUACAUACCUCUGUCCUAGAAGCCGGAAAAGGAGUGAAAACAGACUGGGGAGAUAAGCCUAAAAAGUAAUAUAUUCAAAACCACCCAGCAGUAGGCUUUAUUAAGAACAAACUGGGUAAACAUUCUGCCAUGUUUCUUAUUAAAAAUGGCCAGCGUUUCAUGAAGGAUAACAUUUUUAUACAGAAGGCAGUCAAGCUCAACCCAGAGCCAUGGAGGCCCCAGAGGGUUGUCUUUAAGACCCCGUUUCUGACCUUGACGUCGCAGCGUGUUUCUGUCUGAGGGCAGUGGGCGUGGGCUUGCCUCCCGCAAGCCACUCUGGUCAGGCUCUGUCUCUUGGCUCCCUCCUCUUUCUCUCAGCUGCCUUAUAACCCACAGGGCAGGACCUGUUGGGAAUAAAAAUGCUAGAAGGGAACACACACCGAGGGAGCCUCUAGCAGGUGCGUGCAUUCUGAGUGAGCGAGGCUGGCCAUCUGGCUGAGAUGGGUUUGGAUUUUGUCUUUCUUUUGUGCUGUGUGUUCCAAGUCAGUCACUUAACCGCUCUGAGCUCCAAUGUCUUCUGUGCAGUGGGAGAUGUGGUGUCUGCUUCACAUGGCAAUUUUAAGACUUUAACAGGCCCUUAAAAGUGCCUGGGUUAAAAAAAAAAAAGUGCCUCACAGUAGUAGUUAGUUUUGUUUCAUUUAAAAAAUACAUCCAUUUAAGAUAGAAGUAUUCAUCCUCACACUUGCUUGCUGGACCUCAGACCAGUAGCCAGGCCCUGCAGGGAGAAAGCAGGAAAAGUAGCCAGAGACCUACAGCCCUGCCUCCUGAAUUCUUCUAGCUUUGCCCAGAAGAGUCAAGACUCGGAUCAGUGCAGGUGCUGAUCCCAGCGUUCCCCACGUUCACAGGGGAAAGCAGGUUCUCGGACAGCGAUAUGAUGGAAAUGAUUGGCCGGAAUAAAUUGGAUGAGGUUUUGCUUUAAGCUCUAUCACCUACGAGUUCCCCAGAUUACAGCCUUUUAUCAGGAUGAUAACUGCAUGCAGUGUCAUACGGCAAAAUAAAAGGGUUUUUUUGUGUGUGCAUUUUUUUUAAAAAAAAAACCCACAAAAACAUGGCUGUGUGUUUUUUUCCUAUCCGUGUAAAGUGGCCACCUCUUCUCUCUGGGGAGAGAGGGUCUUUUGUUCUGUGACCACGUCCUUUUUAUUUUUCCUUUGCUGAUUGGCAGGUGUCCUUUCUCUUAUGAAAUGAUAGUGAUGAUGGGUUUAAGGUUUUGAAAGUUAGUUUUGAACAGGUGGUGCAUGUACAGGGUGCCCUGCCCGCCUCCCCGUCAUCGGUACCUCUGCGUGUCAAUCAUGCCUGACCCCGUCUGGCUCGUGUGUGCUCAUGGGUAAAAGGUGAUACCAUCCGCCCCACAUCGCUCCUUUGGUGGGAGGUUGGGGGAAGAGGUGAGAAAGAUCUUAGAUUGGGGGAUCCCUGGGUGGCUCAACAGUGUAGCACCAUCUUCAGCCCAGGACCUGAUCCUGGAGACCCAGGAUCGAGUCCCACAUCGGGCUCCCUGCCUGCUUCUCCCUCUGCCUGUGUCUCUGCCUCUCUGUCUCUCUCUCAUGAGUAAAUGAAUAAAAUCUUUAAAAAAAAAUCUUAGAUGCCAUUGAAAUGUUAUAAUCGUAUGCACGGUGCCCCCCAUGUGUUAUAAUAGAUUUGGUUGGGGCCCAGUGAUGGGCCAAGGGCACUCAUUGUAACAUCGUUGCUAUGGCGAAGCAGGGUCUUCUUUAGGAUGAUGCUGUUGCUCCUGCGGUUGACAUCAUCUUUGCGGUCCUUACGACAAGCUGGUUUCUGCGGUGGGUGUUUGCACCAGCCACUGAAAUGACCUCUUUUGUUACCUGAGGGC